GAGUAACACGUGGGUAACCUACCUAUAAGACUGGAAUAACUCCGGGAAACCGGGGCUAAUGCCGGAUAACAUUUAGAACCGCAUGGUUCUAAAGUGAAAGAUGGUUUUGCUAUCACUUAUAGAUGGACCCGCGCCGUAUUAGCUAGUUGGUAAGGUAAUGGCUUACCAAGGCAACGAUACGUAGCCGACCUGAGAGGGUGAUCGGCCACACUGGAACUGAGACACGGUCCAGACUCCUACGGGAGGCAGCAGUAGGGAAUCUUCCGCAAUGGGCGAAAGCCUGACGGAGCAACGCCGCGUGAGUGAUGAAGGGUUUCGGCUCGUAAAACUCUGUUAUUAGGGAAGAACAAACGUGUAAGUAACUGUGCACGUCUUGACGGUACCUAAUCAGAAAGCCACGGCUAACUACGUGCCAGCAGCCGCGGUAAUACGUAGGUG
rnacentral:rRNA from 1 species